GACGAACGCUGGCGGCGUGCUUAACACAUGCAAGUCGAACGGAAAGGCCCUGCUUUUGUGGGGUGCUCGAGUGGCGAACGGGUGAGUAACACGUGAGUAACCUGCCCUUGACUUUGGGAUAACUUCAGGAAACUGGGGCUAAUACCGGAUAGGAGCUCCUGCUGCAUGGUGGGGGUUGGAAAGUUUCGGCGGUUGGGGAUGGACUCGCGGCUUAUCAGCUUGUUGGUGGGGUAGUGGCUUACCAAGGCUUUGACGGGUAGCCGGCCUGAGAGGGUGACCGGCCACAUUGGGACUGAGAUACGGCCCAGACUCCUACGGGAGGCAGCAGUGGGGAAUAUUGCACAAUGGGCGGAAGCCUGAUGCAGCAACGCCGCGUGCGGGAUGACGGCCUUCGGGGUGUAAACCGCUUUCGCCUGUGACGAAGCGUGAGUGACGGUAAUGGGUAAAGAAGCACCGGCUAACUACGCG
rnacentral:rRNA from 1 species